GGGCGAUUAGCUCAGAUGGCUAGAGUACUAGCUUGACAUGCUAGGGGUCACUGGUUCGAGUCCAGUAUCGCCCA
rnacentral:tRNA from 1 species